UUAGUGGCGGACGGGUGAGUAACGCGUGGGUAACCUGCCCUAUACUGGGGGAUAACAGCUAGAAAUGGCUGCUAAUACCGCAUGAGCGCACAGUCCCGCAUGGGACAGUGUGGAAAACUCCGGUGGUAUAGGAUGGACCCGCGUCCGAUCAGCUGGUUGGUGGGGUAACGGCCCACCAAGGCGACGAUCGGUAGCCGACCUGAGAGGGUGACCGGCCACAUUGGGACUGAGACACGGCCCAAACUCCUACGGAAGGCAGCAG
rnacentral:rRNA from 1 species